UUACGGCCGCAUCACGUCGAAACAUCGGUUCCUGUACGAUCACCGUAGUUAAGCAAUGUCGAGCCUGGUCAGUACCUAGAUGAGCAACCGCUUGGGAAUACAAGGUG